CCAGAUUUAUUUAAUGGACAUGCACCUACAUGUUUAAGCUCUUUCAUAGACACUCGGGUAACACCCAUCCCUCCCCUGUGUUUAUUGUCUCUCAUGCUCUUGAAUAUCCUAAUUCUCUUCUCAUGUCUCUGACAGCAGUGCCUUCCAUAAUGUAAUAGUUUUUAAAAAGAGAGUUGAAUUUAUUUAAUCUCGUUGCGUUUUUGUUUUUGAUCUUAAGACACUGUUUAUCCACUUGUCUAUGUGACUGUUCACUUGAAAUUUCUGUAAUGCGGCUACUCUUCAGGAAAUAGUGCUGACCCACAUCAUUUAUUCAUUUGUUUGUUUGUUUGCUUAUUUGUUUGUUUUAGAUCACAUUUUAUAUUAAUAUCCAAUACUUUUAAAACCACUGUUCACAUAUUAUUAGGAGACUGCUUGAAUUUCUGUCCAGGAUGAGGCAUGCAGUAUAACAAUGCCAUGUUUGUUCAGUUCAGUUCUAACACUGGGAAUUUGUUUAUGGAUCAGUAGAAAGUGGGAGUUCAAACUUGUAAAUUCUUUUUAAAUAUGAUUCAGUCGUAUGCUUUCCAGGGUGAGUCAGUUUGUGCUUGUUUAUUGAAAGAUAGUUGUUACACUCUAUUCAUUCAUAUAUAUUAUAUAGGCCUAUAUAUAGUAUCAAGAAGUGUAACCACAAUGUCAGAUGGUGUAAAUGUUAGGGCUAAUUAAGUAAUUAAGGCCUGAAUUUGACAUGAAAGUCAGAAAGAGAUAUGGCCUUCGUUAACAAUAUAAUGACUCAAUAGUCAAUGACUAUCACCGCAUCUACACAUUAGACGAUUUGUAUCAAUUCUGGAGUGUGGCCAAGGCUAUUCCAAGAACGUCGUGGGUUGUCUUUAGCCACGCCUUAAUAGCGUGUGGGCGAUUGAAAGGUUAUCAAUGAAUGGUAUAAAGCAUGUCCACCCGCCGAACUGUUUGCAGGUUUAGUAAAGAUGGGCAAGACAAAUUUCAUAGGUAAUAAAUUAUCAUUCAUGUCCCUGAGUAGUCAGUAUAUUGUAAAAUUCGUUCUAAUUGAUUUGGUAACGUUCUCGUCAAAUGAUGAUGCUUUAAAAAUGUUGAUUUUUUUCAAGGUUAUUUAUCCUUCUUCCUCUGGAUACACCUGGCCAUUUGUUCUGACCAGAAAUCUUAUGGGGAAAGGAGAUGGGCACAGUGCCUACAGGGAAUCCAAACUAAUUCUCAUGUCAUAAAAACCGAAGUUGCUCACCUGAAGGGAACAUGCGAUGACCAUGACGAGAAAAUAAAGGCUCGCUGCAUUAUUGAUUGGGCUUAUUGCCCGGAGGAAAAAGAAGGCGGCGAUGAACUUCGUAAGGUGAUGUGCCUAUUAAACGAUACGUUCUCACUGCAUGCACGGGACUGUUCGGACAGCCCGAGAAGAAUCGAACGACUGAGAAGGACCGUAGAUAAAAAGACUAAGGAUGCCUUUUUCAAAUGCUGGUGUUUCUUUAUCUCUAAAAGAAUUGUUUUAAAAAAAAGGUCUGACCUUCAACGCAACACUGAUCUUAACUAAGCAGUUUAGAUAAUGGAUGGAUUGGUGGAUGGACGUCUGUCUCUUGAAAGUCUUUAAAAGUAAUUGUAUAAAUGCUCCUGCAGUUAUGCGAAUUUAGAAGGACAUUUUUCCAUUUGAAUGUCAGAUUAUUUGUUAUCAUGUAGGCUACCAACAUCACUUGUGUGUGCGAAUUCAAUUUAACUGAUUUUAACGUGGCGUUUAUGUAUGCUACCAAUUAAUGUCUUUAAUGCAGUAUUUUUGUAUGUAUGCACUAUAUUUAUGUGUAAAUUCAAAUCGAUGUUUUCACGGAGCCAUUGAGUCUUGAUCAGGCUACAUUUAAAAAGUAUGGUCUCUGAAAUACUGGAAAAUUCAAUGUUAUUUAAAUUUAGGCUAUUGAAAUUUUUUUAUUAUUCAUAUAUAAUCACAUUUCUGUGCAUUUUAGAUGGUGUCUGUGUAUUUAUUUAUUAUUUUCCCCUCUAUCAGCAAUCAGUGUCUGCGAAUCUCAUCACCUUUUCAUGGUUACGUCAAAGUGCAUCGACGUGUGGGAGACAUGGUCGUGUUCAAUGGGCAGUAGCCUAACAUAGCACAUGCAGUGAUUAGAGUAUGGCACCAGAGGGAAGCGUUCAAAACUCAUGUCGCACACAUAUUGUACUCUAAAUAAAGGUACUCUACCUCAGUUGCUCAAGUAAUACUCAGGACGUUACAGAUUAAAGUUUUCGUAAAUGUGUAUGUUUUCAG